rnacentral:tRNA from 1 species
AGGGGCACAGUUCAGUGGCAGAGCAUUUGACUGCAGAUCAAGAGGUCCCCGGUUCAAAUCCAGGUGCCCCCU